GACGAACGCUGGCGGCGUGCUUAACACAUGCAAGUCGAACGGAAAGGCCCUGCUUUUGUUGGGUGCUCGAGUGGCGAACGGGUGAGUAACACGUGAGUAACCUGCCCUUGACUUUGGGAUAACUUCUGGAAACUGGGGCUCAUACCGGAUAUGAGCUCCUGCUGCAUGUUGGGGGUUGGAAAGUUUCGGCGGUUGGGGAUGUACUCGCGGCUUAUCAGCUUGUUGGUGUGGUAGUGGCUUACCAAGGCUGUGACGGGUAGCCGGCCUGAGAGGGUGACCGGCCACAUUGGGACUGAGAUACGGCCCAGACUCCUACGGGAGGCAGCAGUGGGGAAUAUUGCAGAAUGGGCGGAAGCCUGAUGCAGCAACGCCGCGUGCGGGAUGACGGCCUUCGGGUUGUAAACCGAUUUCGCCUGUGACGAAGCGUGAGUGACGGUAAUGGGUAAAGAAGCACCGGCUAACUACGUG
rnacentral:rRNA from 1 species